rnacentral:lncRNA from 1 species
UCAGCUGAAAAGCCACACAUAAUCGUCUUCUUCGUUUAAAGAAGUGAUUGUGUUUGGUUUGUAAAUUUGCAGUACCAUAGGUUUUUCUAUAUAGAACAUUAGUGCCUUAGGGAACACGUGAUUUAAAGCCUGUAUCCAAACCCUUCUGUUCUCAUCAACAGAUUGCCGUUUCCCUCUUGCUUGAAACGUCAUCGGGACGUUUCCGACGUGUUCCCGUGCUGUUCCUGUUUCAGAGAUGUUUACGGUACGCGAGACGGCUACCAGUACACGUACCUGUGCAACCUAACAUUUUUUUUUUAAUGAUAUUCCAAAAAAAAAAUCAUCAAAAACUGACAAAAUAAACCCACUAACCUAUAAACACAUUUUUAAAAUUCAUUUUCAAUCUCUCAAAAUACUCAUCAAAUCUUAUAUUCUUUACAUUACCCAUGAUGUAUAUUUCAUUUUAAUGAUACUUUAGAAAUAAAUUCUUCAAAAACGCAUCUGGAAAAGCUGAAAUUCAAAAAACACAGUUUUAAAACUCAUUUUUAAUCUUUUGAAAAUCUCAGCAAUUCUUACAUUAUUCACAUUAUUCUUGAUCUACAUCUAAUUUUAAAGCUAUUCCACAAUAAAUUUCAUAAAAAACGGACAUAUAUUACAUGUUCUAUGAAGCUUCAUUCACGUUAAUGGAAGAAUAUAAGCGAUAUUGCAGGUUGAAGAAGAAAGAGAGUAGAGAGUUUUUAU